rnacentral:lncRNA from 1 species
CUUCGCCUCUCGGUUAGCAAGCGAUGAGGCACGCCCCUCCACAGGCGGGACUGCGCGGAGUCGUCGCGCCUCGGCUGCGAGUCAGGACUGAGGCUGUCCCCCUCCCGCCUCCCUCAGGGGCCCUGGCGCGGGUGCCUCCAGGUUCCACCCCUCACCUGCCCCUUGGUGUCGGGCCGGGACCCUGGAGAGGUCGUGAGGGAGUCCUGGGCGCGGGCUCCGGGAGGCUGCGGCGCGGGUCUGAGGUAAACGGCCCGGCCGCUGCGGGCCCUUGCGGGGGCUGGUUCCAGCAGCAACCGCCGGGCAGGGCCCCUCCCGACCGCGACCUCCUGUCCGCACCGUAGGGCAGCCGGCCGGGCCAGCCUCCCUCACAGGACUACCGAGGAAGAGGUAGGAUUUCACUCUGUCACCCAGGCGGGAGUGCAGUGGUGCGAUCAUAGCGGGGACUACAAGUGUGCACCACAUGCUUGUCUACGAACCUGAAGUAUUCUGAUGCAGUGGAGAGAGUGUAGAACUCUGGAGUGAAGAGAUCUGCCUGGAACCCUGACUCUAUCACUAGGAGAUUCCUUGGAAUGAAACCAAUGGGAGUCCAGGGUUUGGGAGAGUCUCAUCAGAGCAGAUGGGCGAGCAGCAGCCAGAACGCUUGUUGCCUUUGGCUGAGAACACUAUCCUGGAUCUGAAUGUCUUCUUUGUCACUCCAAGAGAUGGCCCUGGGACUGAGAAGUGGAUGGCAGCUGUGACAGCAGGAGAGGACUGCCUGAGGCUCCCCGGGCAGAGGCUCUGGUGCCAGGUUAGCAGCAGGACCGACGGCAGACCCAGCAGCCAGAGAGUGAAAGGCCAACUUCUCAGCCCCCCUGGCCUGCUCCAUCCCGUCAACUCUCCCAGGAACUACCAGCACCCACCUAAGGGACACCAGCCGCCCUGUGAAAGGACAAGCCAGAGACCCCUGGAGCUCGGAUGUGGAAGGAUGUGGGGAGCUGCCUGGUCCUGUCUCCCACUGCCGCAGAGGGACAUGAGGGAUGGAGCAGGACUGGCAACCUGGAGAGGAAGUCACUCCUGGUCCUGAGCCCUGUUCAAAGGGCCAGGCUCCCCUCUACCCCAUUGUCCAUGUGACAGAGCUCAAACACACAGACCCCAACUUUCCCUCCAACUCCAAUGCUGUCGGCACCUCAAGUGGCUGGAACAGGAUUGGCACGGGCUGCAGCCAUACCUGGGACUGGAGGUUCUCCUGCACCCAGCAGGCCCUUUUGCCCCUACUAGGAGCCUGGGAAUGGAGCAUUGACACAGAAGCAGGAGGAGGAAGGAGAGAGCAGAGCCAGAAACCCUGCAGCAACGGAGGGCCUGCAGCAGCUGGAGAGGGCCGAGUCCUCCCAAGCCCCUGCUUUCCAUGGAGCACUUGCCAGGCAGCCAUUCACAAAGUGUGUCGUUGGCAGGGAUGCACCAGACCAGCUCUCCUGGCACCAUCCCUGGCCACACUCAAGGAACACAGUUAUCCCUGAUGCUCUUGGCCUCUCUCCCUGAGCAGUACUCACCAGGGCCCACCUGACUCACGAUAGCCCCUGCCCAACAGGUACAAGUGGAGCUGGUGCUGGCCCCGGGCUGCCUCCCACCCAGGUGCCUGGCCUGUGGCUCCAAGGUGGACUCCCAGGCCCAGCACCACCAGCAGCAGCAACAGACCCCUCUGCCCAGGCCGGCCUCACACGGGGCUAAAGACACCCACGGCUCCUGCCAGCAGGGUCCACACAGGCCACCUCGCUGCCCGUCCUCUCCCUCAGCCCCUCCUUAAGCACUCCUGCAGGCUCUCCCAGCUGCUGCCAGCACAUCCCGGGUGAGGCUUGCCCGGACCCACAGGCAACCUGGGCCCCUGCCAAGCCAGAAUCCACUCUCAGCUGUGCCUUUCUCGGCCCUGAGCAAAGCAGAUCAGUGGAGUCAGAGGCACCUUUGGGGCAGACAGGGGAAGAGGAGUGCAUUCAUUGGGGAAAGGUUGGGAGCUACCCAGCCGUAGGCUGGCAAAUCAGCUCCUGGCCGGGGGCACCCUGACUUACAGGCUUUGCCUGAUUUCUGUGGUGUAAAUUCUCCCCUUGUGCCCAGUUUCAAGCUACUAAUGUGUCGUGGACCGUAACUGGGGAGCAACACAGAGUCAGCUGGCCACGAUGCCAGUCACUGCUGAGCUGCCAAACCUUACGCGUCCCAGGGGGCACCUGCCUAGAGGCCAGGCACUGCACUGGACCCUCAGACACAGCUUGUGCAGCCUGCUUAGGAGCUUGGGAAAUGACUGUCAUCUGUGAUCUUGCUGGUCCCAGGAAGCCCAUUUUACAGAUGAGGAAACUGAGGCCCAAAGGCACGAAGCGACCUCUCUCAGCCUCACCAAGAGCACUGGAAGGUGGUGUAGGGCUGCGGCCGUGCGCACAGAGAGCACAGCAGCAGGAAGGCUCCUGGGCCUCCAGCUCCCCUCCCUCAGAAGCCUCCCAGAGUGACAGGAAGGUCAGAGGCCCCGGGGAGGGGGCGGGGCCAGGAUCUGGCAAUUUCCUAUCCCUCUCUGUUGGCUCUGUGCAUCUAAUUACUCCUUGAGUCAUCUGUUGCUAACCAGGAGGGGAAAUUAAAUAUUAAUAAUGUAAUACUUCUCUGUGAUUACCCCUUGUUGGGGACAGAUCAGAGGGCAGAUGCUGCCCCAUACAGACAGGGGACACAUGCUGCGGAAUGUGCAUAAUGCCUCUUGAAAGAACCACCUUAUAGGAUUCCACGCGGUCAGACUCAAAACUGCUGCUGCUUCCUGCCUUCCUCCUCACCUCCCCCAACCUGGCCACUUUAAUUAAAACUCCAUUUAAUCAAAA